rnacentral:rRNA from 1 species
UACAGGGGGGGCAAGCGUUGUCCGGAAUUACUGGGCGUAAAGAGCGCGCAGGCGGUCGUUCAAGUCGCGUGUGAAAGCCCCCGGCUCAACUGGGGAGGGUCACGCGAUACUGAUCGACUCGAAGGCAGGAGAGGGUAGUGGAAUUCCCGGUGUAGUGGUGAAAUGCGUAGAUAUCGGGAGGAACACCAGUGGCGAAGGCGACUACCUGGCCUGUUUCUUGACGCUGAGGCGCGAAAGCUAGGGGAGCAAACGGG